rnacentral:rRNA from 1 species
AGCGAACGCUGGCGGCGUGCCUAACACAUGCAAGUCGAACGUGAAAGGGAGCAAUCCCAAGUAAAGUGGCGUACGGGUGAGUAACACGUAGGUAAUCUACCCUAAAGUUUGGAAUAACCGGCCGAAAGGCUGGCUAAUACUGGAUAGAGCGACGGAAUCCGUAAUUGGGUUUUUCGGGAAAGGGAGCUCGUAAGAGCCCUCGCUUUAGGAUGAGCCUGCGUCCCAUUAGUUAGUUGGCAGGGUAACGGCCUACCAAGACUGUGAUGGGUAGCUGGUCUGAGAGGAUGAUCAGCCACACUGGAACUGAAACACGGUCCAGACUCCUACGGGAGGCAGCAGUGGGGAAUCUUGCGCAAUGGACGAAAGUCUGACGCAGCCACGCCGUGUGAGUGAAGAAGGCCUUCGGGUUGUAAAGCUCUGUCGUUCGGGACGAAAAUCUUAUGGGUGAAUAGCCCAUAGGACUGACGGUACCGAAAAAGGAAGCACCGGCUAACUCCGUGCCAGCCGCCGCCGUAAAAC